rnacentral:rRNA from 1 species
UACGGAGGGGGCCAGCGUUGUUCGGAAUCAUUGGGCGUAAAGGGCGCGUAGGCGGCUUGGUAAGUCGGUCGUGAAAUCCCUCGGCUCAACUGAGGAACUGCGUCCGAUACUGCUGAGCUCGAGUCCCGGAGAGGGAAGCGGAAUUCCCAGUGUAGCGGUGAAAUGCGUAGAUAUUGGGAGGAACAUCGGUGGCGAAGGCGGCUUCCUGGACGGGUACUGACGCUGAGGCGCGAAAGCGUGGGGAGCAAACAGG